CUGAGCUCUGCCUGGAUCCUUCCCUUCUCCAGGGGAACAUUCCCGGGGCUCUGAGCUCUGCCUGGAUCCUUCCCUUCUCCAGGGGAACAUUCCCAGGGCUCUCCCAGCCUGGCUCCCGCCCUGGGAGCAUCACAGAGGAAUGAAAUGCAAUUUCUGAGAAAAUAUUUGUAUGCUCAUUGCUAAAUGGCAGCGAUAGAAACUUUCCAUGGCCUGGAAAAUCUCCUUGGUGGUGUUAAUGCCAUCCUUGUCUAUUUAAAACCACAUGAAAAAUAGCUGUGGCUGAAAGUGGCUGAGUCCAUUUUUGAGAUGUAUGAAAAUUCCUUGCAAUACAUUGCUGCUACUUUUAGUUCACUUUUUGCUGGGGUCCUGCCAAGGCUCUCUCAGGCCAGCAGGAGCUCCAGCCUGUCCUGCUGCAGAGGACACAAGUCCUGCUGUCCCUGUGGUGCUGCAGAUCCCAGCCUUGGGAGAUGUCACAGCAGCCUCUGGUGGCCGUAGGAGCUGGCACUGGGAGAGGAAAUCUGUGCAAAUGGAGGCACUUUGGUGCAAGUUUUUGUAGGAACUGAGAUGUCAGCACUUCAGGGGACAGCUGUCAGUGGAAAUCAGGCCAGGCUGAGGAGCGGUGAGAGAAUAAUUUCAGAUUUGUUGGCAAUUAGCAUCUUCUCCAAGUGUGUCUAAUCUCAGAGCAGACUGAAAAUUUUGGAAGAAGUGUCAUUUUUUAAAAUAUUUUUGGGAGAAGCAGCAGCAUAUGUUCCUUUCCCCUUGGCAGUGCUGGGAAAAAAGGGGAAGCAGAUGAAGUUGAGCUGUGAUACUGCUCAGGGAGAACCUGCACAGCUCCUCAGUGGAAUCUCCUGAGCUGGAAGGGACCCACAGGAUCAUGGAUCCAGCUCCUGGCCCUGCACACACACCCCAAAAUCCCACUCUGGGCACUCCUGGAGCAGUGUCCAAAUGCUCCUGGAGCUCUGGCAGCUUUGGGAAUGUGCCCAUUCCCUGGGGAGCCUGGGCAGUGCCAGCACCCUCUGGGGGAAGAGCCUUUCCCUGAUCUCCAGCCUAAUACCUGGAUGUGAUAUUCCUUCACACAAAUGUGAAAUAU